rnacentral:lncRNA from 1 species
AAAAUAGGAAUAUGCAGCAGAAAAAUAGGACUAAAAACCACAUUAAAAGAUAUGUAGUAUCAACAUAGGAACUCGAUCAAACAUAUAAACAUUUUUUUCUUUUUCUAUAUUUUUUGUAUGAAACCUUCUAAUAUAUAUACUUGGAGUAAGUCUAAAACUAUUUGGCUAUUGAAAAAGUAUUUUCCAACGACAUGACAAGAAGAUCAGAUGACUACUUUUCUGAUCUUCGCCACAAAGAGUCCACUAGUUUGCGAUGGGUCAAACCGCCAUGU